rnacentral:rRNA from 1 species
CCUACGGGGGACUGCAGUGAGGAAUAUUGGUCAAUGGCCGCAGGGCUGAACCAGCCAAGUCGCGUGAGGGAUGACGGUCCUAUGGAUUGUAAACCUCUUUUGUCAGGGAGCAAAGGGCGCCACGUGUGGCGCUUUGCGAGUACCGGAAGAAAAAGCAUCGGCUAACUCCGUGCCAGCAGCCGCGGUAAUACGGAGGAUGCGAGCGUUAUCCGGAUUUAUUGGGUUUAAAGGGUGCGCAGGCGGAAUGUCAAGUCAGCGGUAAAAUUUCGGGGCUCAACCCCGUCGUGCCGUUGAAACUGGCGUUCUUGAGUGAGCGAGAAGUAUGCGGAAUGCGUGGUGUAGCGGUGAAAUGCAUAGAUAUCACGCAGAACUCCGAUUGCGAAGGCAGCAUACCGGCGCUCAACUGACGCUCAUGCACGAAAGCGUGGGUAUCGAACAGGAUUAGAUACCCGGGUAGUC